rnacentral:rRNA from 1 species
UGGAGCAUGUGGUUUAAUUCGACGCAACGCGAAGAACCUUACCAGGGCUUGACAUCCCCUGACCGCGUAUGAAAGUACGUUUUCACCCUCGGGUGACAGGGAGACAGGUGGUGCAUGGUUGUCGUCAGCUCGUGUCGUGAGAUGUUGGGUUAAGUCCCGCAACGAGCGCAACCCUUAUCAUUAGUUGCUAACAUUCAGUUGAGAACUCUAAUGAGACUGCCAGUGAUAAACUGGAGGAAGGCGGGAUGACGUCAAAUCAUCAUGCCCCUUAUGACCUGGGCUACACACGUGCUACAAUGGCCGGUACAAAGAGUUGCGAAACUGUGAAGUUAAGCUAAUCUCAUAAAGCCGGUCUCAGUUCGGAUUGUAGUCUGCAACUCGACUACAUGAAGUCGGAAUCGCUAGUAAUCGCGAAUCAGAAUGUCGCGGUGAAUACGUUCUCGAGUCUU